rnacentral:rRNA from 1 species
UACGUAGGGUGCAAGCGUUAAUCGGAAUUACUGGGCGUAAAGCGCGCGUAGGUGGUUCAGUAAGUUGGAUGUGAAAUCCCCGGGCUCAACCUGGGAACUGCUUUCAAAACUGCUGAGCUAGAGUACGGUAGAGGGUAGUGGAAUUUCCUGUGUAGCGGUGAAAUGCGUAGAUAUAGGAAGGAACACCAGUGGCGAAGGCGACCACCUGGACUGAUACUGACGCUGAGGUGCGAAAGCGUGGGGAGCAAACAGG